AGAGGCUAGGGCUACUAUCUUCUUAAGAGGAUAGUAGCACUUGUCCUAUCAAAUUGAUUUUGAUGAUCGAGAUUUCGAAUCGAUGAUCGGAGCCGUUGAAGUUGAUCUGGAAUAUUUGAAAUAUCUAGAAACUAAAUUUUAUAAAUUUUAAAAAUGAUUUACAUAGUGAUCAAAGUAUCGUAAAAUCGACAAUUUUUGACGGCCUAUAUGAGCCGUUUGCUUAUUUAACGGUGUAGAGCAAUCCAAAUUGCUUGAAUUUUUUAUAGAAAAUUCUUUAUACUAUUUAAAUAAUGUUUGAUAACUCUGAUACUGAAUUGAGAAAGUCUAAUCUCUAUUUUAAGAAGGUUAUUUAUUUAUGACCGUUCAUUUUUCGACUUUUCGAUGAACUUGAUAAUAAUUUUUAAAUAUUACAAAAUUUGGUUUCUAAAUAUUUUUAAUUGUGUAGAUCAAUUUCAACGGUGCUGAUUAUCAAUUUGAAGUUCCGAUCAUUUAAAACGACUUGAUAGGACAAUGUCUCUAAUCCUAUUAAUAGGAUAGUAGAUGGACUCUCUCUUUCUAUAUAUAUAUAGAGAGUUGAGGUAGAAUACUCUCAAAAGCACCAAAAAGUUGGUGCUUUUGAGUUUUUAACUCUUGGAUGGAAAAAUGUAAGGUUGAGAUGAUGGUGGUAGGUGGUGGUAGGUAGUGGUAGGUGUAAUAAUGUUUGAUCCAAGGACUAUUAGUAAUCAAGGAGUAGAUCCAAGAGCUAGAAAUCUAGAAGUACCAAGGGGUGAUACUUUUAAAAGUAUUCUGGCUCAAUUAUAUAUAUAUAUAUAUAUAUACAG
rnacentral:lncRNA from 1 species